CGUGAAGCCGGAAUUGCUAGUAAUCGCGGAUCAGCAUGCCGCGGUGAAUACGUUCCCGGGCCUUGUACACACCGCCCGUCACACCAUGAGAGCCGGGGGGACCCGAAGUCCGUAGCCUAACCGCAAGGGGGCGCGGCCGAAGGUGGGUUCGAUAAUUGGGGUGAAGUCGUAACAAGGUAGC
rnacentral:rRNA from 1 species